rnacentral:lncRNA from 1 species
AAAAAUUUCAAUUGACCCCUUAAGAAGUUAUUGCCCUUUAAAGACUUUUUUCACAAUUUGUUCAUCAUGUUGACUUACUUUAAAAAAUCUUCUCGAACUGCUGUAUCAAUUUCAGCCAAACUUAGGCUAAAUGAGUUUCAGAGUAUCUAGUAUACAUUUUAUAUUUUAUUUCCUUGUAUGUCAAGAAACAUAGCUCCUAUGGCUAAAAUAGAACAUAGGAGAAAAUGAUUUUUUUUUUUU